AUAUUUAUUUAUCACAUACCAGAAAAAACAGUUACCUUCUGUUUAUUCAUAGUCAUGGUUGUAUUUUUCUGUCUUUGUUUUAGGUUCAAUGUCAAGAAGAGAGAGAACAAAUAUCUCGGAGGAAGCAAAGGUCUUCUUCAAGAAGCCAUAUGAAGAAGGGAUGACCAGGGUGGGAUCUCCACUGGUUGGAGCAGCAGCAGAGGCCACUGGCUUGCCACCGUUUGUGAUUGAUAACUGAAUUGGAAAUUACAGAAGACAAAACAGUUUCUUCUCAACC